rnacentral:rRNA from 1 species
GUCUAGUACUCAGAGUUUGAUCCUGGCUCAGGAUGAACGCUGGCGGCGUGCCUAAUACAUGCAAGUGAAACGGGUGUCUUCGGACACUAGUCGCGAACGGGUGAGUAAUACGUAGGCAACCUGCCCUAAAGAGGGGGAUAACUGAGGGAAACUUCAGCUAAUACCGCAUAAAGAACACAAGGCAUCUUGUGGAGAUGAAAGGAGGGUUAAACCUCCGCUUUAGGAUGGGCCCACGGCGCAUUAGCUAGUUGGUGAGGUAACGGCCCACCAAGGUUAUGAUGCGUAGCCGACCUGAGAGGGUGAUCGGCCACAUUGGGACUGAGACACGGCCCAG